rnacentral:rRNA from 1 species
AGAUUGAACGCUGGCGGCAGGCCUAACACAUGCAAGUCGAGCGGUAGAGAGGUGCUUGCACCUCUUGAGAGCGGCGGACGGGUGAGUAAUGCCUAGGAAUCUGCCUAGUGGUGGGGGAUAACGUUCGGAAACGGACGCUAAUACCGCAUACGUCCUACGGGAGAAAGCGGGGGACCUUCGGGCCUCGCGCCAUUAGAUGAGCCUAGGUCGGAUUAGCUAGUUGGUGAGGUAAUGGCUCACCAAGGCGAACGAUCCGUAACUGGUCUGAGAGGAUGAUCAGUCACACUGGAACUGAGACACGGUCCAGACUCC